UACCACCCGACAAUACCCGACCGAUCCGAAUGGAAAGUUAGGCACCGGGUCGGGUUGUUUCGGGUCUGCGGGUUGAGCGGGUGAAAGGAACGGUUAUAGUAGGAUAAACAUGGUCGGGUUCGGAUGGAUAAAUUGGACCCGUCGGACCCCGAACCCGACCGAAGCUGUAUUAUUAUUAUUAUUAAAUGUUAAUUAUUAUAUGGCCCAAGUUAGUGUAAAAAUGAUAGGCCCAACCCAAUGCCCCAAUCCAUUAACUCAGUAUUCAUUUUUACACAAAAGUUUCCAGUAACCCUAAAACACAACACGACAUUCUUGGCCGCCGUCCAUCUCCAUGGCGUCAAACCCUAACCAUAGUAAAAAACUCACCCACAGCCGUCGUCGCCACUCGCCACCACCAUCCACACCUUUUAUCCUCAACCUAACAUUGUCACAAUAAUCUCAAGAUCUCUGUAUUUUCUCGUUCAACCUCGAACUUCAACCUUUCAAAAUCACGACACUCGUUCAACCACAUGCCUCAACCCUCAACAUUCGACUGAAAUACGAGCUCAGCUUUCAUCGUUGACUCGGUUUGGUUUCAUUUACGGUAGCAAUAGAAAAAAAAUUAAGAGAAGACAUAUUUUCGACGAACUUCUGCAACUCAGAGGCAUUCUUAGAUUAACCAAGAAUUCAGUUUGAAGAAGCUGCCUAUACAUCCUGUUCUAAUUAAAAGAGGAGUUUGAGAUAUGCAAGGAGCUGGAAAUAUGCAAGGAGCUGGAAAUACGCAAGGAGUUCGAGAUAUGCAAGGAGUUGAAAAUAC